rnacentral:lncRNA from 1 species
GUGGUGACCUGGGAAUCAAUGUGUGAGGUGGUGCUAUGUAGCAGGAACCCCUCUUGCUUUGCAAAUAGUUUUUUGUUUGUUUUCCUUUUUGCCCAAUAGAGCCCUGCUCUACUGACCCUUCAAUGUGCCCGUGUGCCUAAAUAUUCCUGGUCGUGUGAAAAGAACCCAGGUAUUAGCUGAACUAAGGAGCACAAUUCUGCAACAUUUUGGCACCCAAACACGGGGCUUGAGAAAUGAAUGCAAUUGGAGAAACUGGUUGUUUUACCAGGCGUUGAUUGGAAAUGUGUGCUUCCCUUUAAGCAGUCAAGCUCAACUUGCAGAACUGAUGGGAACCCCUUGGGAAAACUGGCCUCAAAUGUUUGUCUACACAGUCCACAUACAGGGUUCUUAACCUGCGUUUUUACCUACAUUUUAGACUGACCCUGCUUGUGCCUGUGAACCAACCAACAAUCUCUGGCUGCAGCUCAGAAAGGACAAAAGAGAAUGGAUGAGGGAAACUUCCCAGGGCUUGUCUGGGUAUGCCCACAGUGGACUGGAGCCCAAAAUGCACACUGGAGGAAGUGGAUGGAGCCACGUGGAUGUCAUGCCUUAUGCAGGGGAGGAGCCUGCUCUCUUCAGCUCCUGUGGUAAUGUGGGAAUCGAUCUGUGAGGAAACACUUUCUGAAAAUGUCAGAACUCUUGAAAACAUGGAUGAGGAAAAGCAUAAGUACUGCUUUAUGCUUUUCUUAUGAAUUUUAAAAGAUGUAAUUUAAAGAUUGAAACUCCCACAACUUUGGCAGACCAACUCCUCAGAAAACAUUAUUCUUUGACAUCAAUAUGUUUUGCACAAAAUUGAAUGGCAAGUGAAAGGCAUCAAAUGAUGGAGUCUUGUUCUGUGGUCCAGGCUAGAGGGCAGUGGCAUGAUCUCGGCUCACUACAAGCUCUGCCUCCCGGGUUCACGCCAUUCUCCUGCCUCAGCCUCCUGAGUAGCUGGGACUACAGGCGCCCGCCACCACGCCUGGCUAAUUUUUUGUAUAUUUACUAGAGAUGGCUAGUGUUAGCCAAGAUGGUCUCGAUCUCCUGACCUCGUGAUCUGCCCACCUCAGCCUGCCAAAGUGCUGGGAUUACUGGCGUGAGCCACCGUGCCUGGCCAGCAUCCUCUAAUUAUUAUUCAUAGUUUGUGAAUUUAGGCCUACGUGAAUAAUAAUAUAAUAUUUACUAUGAUGUUACUAUCUACCAACCUUAUUUUUCUUUUCUAUAAAAUAGGAGCCAAAAUAAUAUUUAUGUCAUACCUUAUGAAGUUAAAAUAAAAUAUAACGAAUGAGGGGCU